rnacentral:pre_miRNA from 1 species
CAAGUACUCCCUCCGUCCGGAAUUACUUGUCAUCAAAAUGGAUGUGUCUAGAACUAAAAUACAUGUAGAUACAUCCAUUUCGAUGACAAGUAUUUUUGGAUGAAGGGAGUACAAG